UAACCUGCCCAAGAGAUCGGGAUAACACCUGGAAACAGAUGCUAAUACCGGAUAACAACAGAUGAUGCCUAUCAACUGUUUAAAAGAUGGUUCUGCUAUCACUCUUGGAUGGACCUGCGGUGCAUUAGCUAGUUGGUAGGGUAACGGCCUACCAAGGCGAUGAUGCAUAGCCGAGUUGAGAGACUGAUCGGCCACAUUGGGACUGAGACACGGCCCAAACUCCUACGGGAGGCAGCAGNG
rnacentral:rRNA from 1 species